GAUGAACGCUAGCGGCAGGCUUAACACAUGCAAGUCGAGGGGCAGCACGGGUAGCAAUACCUGGUGGCGACCGGCGCAAGGGUGCGUAACGCGUGAGCAACAUGCCCUAUACAGGGGGAUAAUCCAGGGAAACUUGGUCUAAUAUCCCAUAGCAUUUAGAGGAGGCAUCUUCACUAAAUUAAGGCUUCGGUGGUAUAGGAUUGGCUCGCGUGACAUUAGCUAGAUGGUGAGGUAACGGCCCACCAUGGCUAUGAUGUCUAGGGGUUCUGAGAGGAAGACCCCCCACACUGGGACUGAGACACGGCCCAGACUCCUACGGGAGGCAGCAGUGAGGAAUAUUGGACAAUGGAUGGAAAUCUGAUCCAGCCAUGCCGCGUGCAGGAAGACGGCCCUAUGGGUUGUAAACUGCUUUUAUAUGGGAGCAAUAAGGUUUACGAGUAGACCGAUGAGAGUACCAUAUGAAUAGCAUCGGCUAAC
rnacentral:rRNA from 1 species